rnacentral:lncRNA from 1 species
UUCAGCACAGCCUCAGUGUCUGGCUGCUGCCGCAGGAGCCCCUCCGCCGGCCCAGGCGGCGGGAAACUUUUGAGGAAGCUCAUUUGCUAUCACUGUCCAGAUCGUUUAAUCGCCGGCGUUUCUUCCUUCGAGCAGCAGCUGCCCUCUGGGGUCGUUUAUUUUCUUUUCUUUCUUCAUCCAAAAUAGUAGAGAUGUCUUUCCCACGAUGACCUGUGAUGGUGGAGAUAUCUUUUCCUCGGCCAACUCCUGAA